UGACGUUGGGAAAGCGAGCGGCGGAUGGGUGAGUAACACGUGGGGAACCUGCCCCUAAGUCUGGGAUACCAUUUGGAAACAGGUGCUAAUACCGGAUAAUAAAGCAGAUCGCAUGAUCAGCUUUUGAAAGGCGGCGUAAGCUGUCGCUAAGGGAUGGCCCCGCGGUGCAUUAGCUAGUUGGUAAGGUAACGGCUUACCAAGGCGACGAUGCAUAGCCGAGUUGAGAGACUGAUCGGCCACAUUGGGACUGAGACACGGCCCAAACUCCUACGGGAGGCAGCAGUAGGGAAUCUUCCACAAUGGACGCAAGUCUGAUGGAGCAACGCCGCGUGAGUGAAGAAGGUUUUCGGAUCGUAAAGCUCUGUUGUUGGUGAAGAAGGAUAGAGGUAGUAACUGGCCUUUAUUUGACGGUAAUCAACCAGAAAGUCACGGCUAACUACGUGCCAGCAGCCGCGGUAAUACGUAGGUGGCAAGCGUUGUCCGGAUUUAUUGGGCGUAAAGCGAGCGCAGGCGGAAAAAUAAGUCUAAUGUGAAAGCCCUCGGCUUAACCGAGGAACUGCAUCGGAAACUGUUUUUCUUGAGUGCAGAAGAGGAGAGUGGAACUCCAUGUGUAGCGGUGGAAUGCGUAGAUAUAUGGAAGAACACCAGUGGCGAAGGCGGCUCUCUGGUCUGCAACUGACGCUGAGGCUCGAAAGCAUGGGUAGCGAACAGGAUUAGAUACCCUGGUAGUCCAUGCCGUAAACGAUGAGUGCUAAGUGUUGGGAGGUUUCCGCCUCUCA
rnacentral:rRNA from 1 species